rnacentral:rRNA from 1 species
GCAGCCGCCACGGUAAUACAGAGGGUGCAAGCGUUAAUCGGAAUUACUGGGCGUAAAGCGCGCGUAGGUGGUUUGUUAAGUUGGAUGUGAAAGCCCCGGGCUCAACCUGGGAACUGCAUCCAAAACUGGCAAGCUAGAGUACGGUAGAGGGUGGUGGAAUUUCCUGUGUAGCGGUGAAAUGCGUAGAUAUAGGAAGGAACACCAGUGGCGAAGGCGACCACCUGGACUGAUACUGACACUGAGGUGCGAAAGCGUGGGGAGCAAACAGGAUUAGAUACCCCCGUAGUCCCUGUCUCUUAUAC